rnacentral:rRNA from 1 species
UAGGGAAUAUUGGUCAAUGGACGGGAGUCUGAACCAGCCAUGCCGCGUGCAGGAAGACGGCCUACUGGGUUGUAAACUGCUUUUAUCAGGGAAGAAAAGGCCCUUGCGAGGGAGCUUGCCGGUACCUGAAGAAUAAGCACCGGCUAACUCCGUGCCAGCAGCCGCGGUAAUACGGAGGGUGCGAGCGUUGUCCGGUUAUAUUGGGUUUAAAGGGUGCGUAGGCGGCUUAUUAUGUCAGUGGUGAAAGGUAUCAGCUUAUCUGAUGAAGUGCCAUUCAAACUGAUAGGCUUGAGUACAGACGAGGUAGGCGGAAUUUAUGGUGUAGCGGUGAAAUGCAUAGAUACCAUAAAGAACACCGAUAGCGCAGGCAGCUUACUAGACUGAGACUGACGCUGAGGCACGAAAGCGUGGGGAGCGAACAGGAUUAGAUACCCCUGUAGUCC